AGAGUUUGAUCCUGGCUCAGGAUGAACGCUAGCUACAGGCUUAACACAUGCAAGUCGAGGGGAAACGACAUCGAAAGCUUGCUUUUGAUGGGCGUCGACCGGCGCACGGGUGAGUAACGCGUAUCCAACCUGCCCACCACUUGGGGAUAACCUUGCGAAAGUAAGACUAAUACCCAAUGACGUCUCUAGAAGACAUCUGAAAGAGAUUAAAGAUUUAUCGGUGAUGGAUGGGGAUGCGUCUGAUUAGCUUGUUGGCGGGGUAACGGCCGCCAAAGCAACGAUCAGUAGGGGUUCUGAGAGGAAGGUCCCCCACAUUGGAACUGAGACACGGUCCAAACUCCUACGGGAAGGCCA
rnacentral:rRNA from 1 species